AGCUGGAAUAGUGCUCGAUUCCAUAACACAAUGUCAUGGGUUAUCAAUGACAGCCAAUAAGAAGGCCACUCUUUGCCGUUCUCAUUCUCCUAACUACCAUCAUAAAUGGGCAAGUGAGAAACUCAGCUAAGCGAAGGCUUUGUUUUCUUCUUUGCUACUCGUUACCUCUAUAUAUACCAUUUCAUGGUGGCCUUUGAAAUUGUUUUGCAAGGGCUUCAUAUAAGAAAGAAGCAAUGGAAGGUGCAGCACCAAAUCAAAAGAUGUUAUGCUGUGAUCGUGUCCGAAAACGCAAGGAGGAGAAAGGCUUCUUCUCUGCUUGUUUGUUUGUUUUGUUCUGCUGCUGUUGCUGCUAUGGUGGCUGCUGCUGUUGCUGCUAUGGUGGCUGCUGCUGUGGCCCUUAGAUUUCUUGCCAUUGAGUGGGAUCAGUAGAAAUAAAUCCCGGAUGAUAGUUAUGAUGCGAUUGUAAAUAAAUUCAUUCGAGUUAAUAAAAUCAUGAUUGUUGUUACUUGCA